CGCCGCCGCCGCUGCUCGGGCAGGCGGGGAGGCAGGGACCCAGCAAGCCAGUCCCGCAGGCAGCCCCGCGGACCCGCCGCGGCCGGCGAAGACCAUGAUCCUCACACGAGUAAAUGUGAUCUAUUUGAAUUGCCCUGCCCUAAUCAAGAAAUUCCCAGCAGCAAAUCAGUAACAAUUCUUCUUUGUAGGAGGAUUCGUUUCUCACUCUGGAAUCUGUCAACAUGACCUCCAUCAGAGGAUUUGGCUAACUGCUUUCUCUACCCCAAAUAAUCCUCCUCCAAGACCACCCUGUGUUAAUCGGGCCAGAUAAAUAACCCACGUGCCCAAUUAUUUCUUAAGGGUUUUUUAAGUCACUUGACAUCUUGUUCCUCUUCAUCUGUGAACCUUCUUAAAAACAAAUGGGAGAAGACUACCUUUAAUCUCUAAAAAGAGUUAUUUGUCAAGAAAACAACUGCAUGAAGCUUUAGUUUUCUGAUUAAACAAAGUUAGUUUUUAACUUUAGAUCACACUGUUUUUUAAAUUACUUUCUUAAUUCUCCUGU